rnacentral:rRNA from 1 species
AGAUGCAGUGUACCCGCGGCAAGACGGAAAGACCCCGUGAACCUUUACUAUAGCUUGACACUGAACAUUGAGCCUUGAUGUGUAGGAUAGGUGGGAGGCUUUGAAGUGUGGACGCCAGUCUGCAUGGAGCCGACCUUGAAAUACCACCCUUUAAUGUUUGAUGUUCUAACGUUGACCCGUAAUCCGGGUUGCGGACAGUGUCUGGUGGGUAGUUUGACUGGGGCGGUCUCCUCCUAAAGAGUAACGGAGGAGCACGAAGGUUGGCUAAUCCUGGUCGGACAUCAGGAGGUUAGUGCAAUGGCAUAAGCCAGCUUGACUGCGAGCGUGACGGCGCGAGCAGGUGCGAAAGCAGGUCAUAGUGAUCCGGUGGUUCUGAAUGGAAGGGCCAUCGCUCAACGGAUAAAAGGUACUCCGGGGAUAACAGGCUGAUACCGCCCAAGAGUUCAUAUCGACGGCGGUGUUUGGCACCUCGAUGUCGGCUCAUCACAUCCUGGGGCUGAAGUAGGUCCCAAGGGUAUGGCUGUUCGCCAUUUAAAGUGGUACGCGAGCUGGGUUUAGAACGUCGUGAGACAGUUCGGUCCCUAUCUGCCGUGGGCGCUGGAGAACUGAGGGGGGCUGCUCCUAGUACGAGAGGACCGGAGUGGACGCAUCACUGGUGUUCGGGUUGUCAUGCCAAUGGCACUGCCCGGUAGCUAAAUGCGGAAGAGAUAAGUGCUGAAAGCAUCUAAGCACGAAACUUGCCCCGAGAUGAGUUCUCCCUGACUCCUUGAGAGUCCUGAAGGAACGUUGAAGACGACGACGUUGAUAGGCCGGGUGUGUAAGCGCAGCGAUGCGUUGAGCUAACCGGUACUAAUGAACCGUGAGG